rnacentral:rRNA from 1 species
CUGAAACCGUGUGCUUACAAGUAGUCAGAGCCCGUUAAUGGGUGAUGGCGUGCCUUUUGUAGAAUGAACCGGCGAGUUACGAUUUGAUGCAAGGUUAAGCAGUAAAUGUGGAGCCGUAGCGAAAGCGAGUCUGAAUAGGGCGUUUAGUAUUUGGUCGUAGACCCGAAACCAGGUGAUCUACCCUUGGUCAGGUUGAAGUUCAGGUAACACUGAAUGGAGGACCGAACCGACUUACGUUGAAAAGUGAGCGGAUGAACUGAGGGUAGCGGAGAAAUUCCAAUCGAACCUGGAGAUAGCUGGUUCUCUCCGAAAUAGCUUUAGGGCUAGCCUCAAGUGAUGAUUAUUGGAGGUAGAGCACUGUUUGGACGAGGGGCCCCUCUCGGGUUACCGAAUUCAGACAAACUCCGAAUGCCAAUUAAUUUAACUUGGGAGUCAGAACAUGGGUGAUAAGGUCCGUGUUCGAAAGGGAAACAGCCCAGACCACCAGCUAAGGUCCCAAAAUAUAUGUUAAGUGGAAAAGGAUGUGGCGUUGCCCAGACAACUAGGAUGUUGGCUUAGAAGCAGCCAUCAUUUAAAGAGUGCGUAAUAGCUCACUAGUCGAGUGACACUGCGCCGAAAAUGUACCGGGGCUAAACAUAUUACCGAAGCUGUGGAUUGUCCUUUGGACAAUGGUAGGAGAGCGUUCUAAGGGCGUUGAAGCAUGAUCGUAAGGACAUGUGGAGCGCUUAGAAGUGAGAAUGCCGGUGUGAGUAGCGAAAGACGGGUGAGAAUCCCGUCCACCGAUUGACUAAGGUUUCCAGAGGAAGGCUCGUCCGCUCUGGGUUAGUCGGGUCCUAAGCUGAGGCCGACAGGCGUAGGCGAUGGAUAACAGGUUGAUAUUCCUGUACCACCUAUA